rnacentral:rRNA from 1 species
CGCCAGACUCCUACGGGAGGCAGCAGUGGGGGAUAUUGCACAAUGGGGGAAACCCUGAUGCAGCGACGCCGCGUGAGUGAAGAAGUAUUUCGGUAUGUAAAGCUCUAUCAGCAGGGAAGAAAAUGACGGUACCUGACCAAGAAGCCCCGGCUAACUACGUGCCAGCAGCCGCGGUAAUACGUAGGGGGCAAGCGUUAUCCGGAUUUACUGGGUGUAAAGGGAGCGUAGACGGUUAUGUAAGUCUGGAGUGAAAGCCCGGGGCCCAACCCCGGGACUGCUUUGGAAACUGUGUAACUGGAGUACAGGAGGGGCAGGCGGAAUUCCUGGUGUAGCGGUGAAAUGCGUAGAUAUCAGGGGGAACACCGGCGGCGAAGGCGGCCUGCUGGACUGAAACUGACGUUGAGGCUCGAAAGCGUGGGGAGCAAACAGGAUUAGAUACCCCUGUAU